rnacentral:rRNA from 1 species
CACGUAGUUAGCCGGUGCUUCUUCUGCAGGUACCGUCACAAAAAGCUUCGUCCCUGCUGAAAGCGGUUUACAACCCGAAGGCCGUCAUCCCGCACGCGGCGUUGCUGCAUCAGGCUUGCGCCCAUUGUGCAAUAUUCCCCACUGCUGCCUCCCGUAGGAGUCUGGGCCGUAUCUCAGUCCCAAUGUGGCCGGUCACCCUCUCAGGCCGGCUACCCGUCGCCGCCUUGGUAGGCCACUACCCCACCAACAAGCUGAUAGGCCGCGAGUCCAUCCACAACCGCCGGAGCUUUCCAACCCCCACCAUGCAGCAGGAGCACAUAUCCAGUAUUAGCACCAGUUUCCUAGCGUUAUCCCAAAGUUGUGGGCAGGUUACUCACGUGUUACUCACCCGUUCGCCACUCGUGUACCCCCGAAAGGGCCUUACCGUACGACUUGCAUGUGUUAAGCACGCCGCCAGCGUUCGUCCUGAGCCAGGAUCAAACUCU